UCUUGUGAUUAUCUCUUGUGU
rnacentral:siRNA from 1 species